UUUUCCUACCUCCUCCCAAUGAUCGCCGCCGGCCCUUCCCCUCCCCUUCUCUCACGUCGUAGCUCCGGCAGCUACCAGAUCCACCGCACCGCCACCCAUCCAUCCCUCUGGCAACACAUAUCUCUGUCUCGUGCGACCCCUCACACCGUGGCGAGCGCCCGCACAUUUCGGUCAUGUCGGCCACCGUGCAGCACGCUCACAAUAUGGUCUACGAGUCCUCCAACCUACAGUCCGACUGGAUCAGCUGCUGAUGGUAUCAUGUGCUUGCCCGAGAACCAAAUCAUGUGUCUAAGGUUUCAGUUGCACUUCAUAUCCAUCGUCAGUGCGUCUCCGGCGGCUACUCUCUGUUGCACACCAUGCCACUUUGCGCCCUCUCCUCCUCGUGGAUGGUACCCCUAGCUCAGUGCGCUCGGGCCCGUUGGGCUGGCCUGCAACGACCACCGUGCUUGAGGCAGAGCGGCUUGGUCAUCAAGGGCAAGGACCAGGGCAGCUGCGCUACAUGUGCUUGGCAGCAGCACGAGCGAUUCAAGUGACGAAACAUCCCAUAAUAUUACAAGUAGCUACCAACAUGUAGUCAGAAAGAAGGCUGCUCUAUGCUUCCUACGACUUUAUAGUGUGGAAGGAGAGAAAUUCCAAUGUUUGACCAGGUGGUGAGCAGCGCCAAAAGAGUUCCGAACCUUGUGCGUGAGGAUAUUGCAGUCUCGCGAUCGGCGGGUUGCAUCGCUGAUUUGGGUUGUUAGAUGAACUAUGUCACAUCCAUCAUCGACUUUGCUAUGUUGUUCAAAGAAAUAUGUAUACCUGCUGUUCAAUUUGGAUGCAAUUUUUCUGCACAUCCAUUUGUUUUAAAAAUAAAUAUUGUUAUUAUUUCAAUUUAAGGCAAUCAGAGCUCUUGUCGUUCUGCAGGUUUUACAACGUACUUUGAUGUUUAGUGAUGUUAAACACAAUAGCAAGAAUAAUGGUUCACCAGUCACUAUUUUUACUGUCUCCUGCUUUAAGGAGACUAUGUUCUGUAUAGGCAUCUAAUCAAAUGUUUUCCAAGUUUCUUAAGCCAUGAAAUAAAUUAAAUAUGUAGUUCUUGUGCAAGCUGAUCGAGGUUUGCUACGCAUGCUCAAGCCUUGUUUACAAAUAUAAUGGUUCAUUUCAUUAUUGCUUCAUGUAAUAAAUAUUACUCCCUUCGUUCCUUUGGGAGCUGUACGUCUUUUAUGCAGUGUAAUUCUUUGUGUUUUGCAUUCUUUGCAGGUUUGGCAGUUAGUUCGUGUUACUAUCGACCGAGGCUUUUUAGCAGGAAUUACUUGGGUCUGAAAAGCUUCCUCGAAGUGGUGGUGUAGUGUUGGAGAUUAAAAUCAUGUAGUAGUGCAGUUUCAAUGAUGUUAUGUUACUUGAUUUUUGUUAAAUGCUUAUGCUUAUAGCACCUUGUAAAUAUGCUUGUGAUGUUUUGAUAUUAAUUUUGCUUUCUGAAAUCAGACAUUGUUGGAAAUUUA